rnacentral:tRNA from 1 species
GCCCAUGUAGCUCAGGGGCAGAGCACUCCCUUGGUAAGGGAGAGGUCACGAGUUCAAAUCUCGUCAUGGGCUCCA